CAGCCCUGGGAUCACAGGUGAAGACAAUUCCCCUGUGCUACUGGAAGGGGGGGAGCCUGGCUGCACUGCUCCUAGACCCCAUGUAAGAAUUGACUACCAGUGGGGAAGGAUCUCUUUUGGAGAUUGCUCCUCUUGGAGUCUUCUCAGUGAGCCCAGGACAAAGGUCUCAGCUCAAGGAACCACCUUGCUCACCACUGCUGUGCCUGGAUUAGGUCUGUUAGUCUGCGUGGAACACGCCUCAGCUCAGAGAUGUGGACCAGCUGCUGAGAUACAGUAGUGGUAAUGAAUUUUUACUGAGCACACCGUGUUUGAAGAACGCUCCCAGAUCGAUGCCAGGUACUCUCUGCCUCAGGCUGAUGGAAAAACAGGUACUUUAAAGAAAUCUGGAAAGCUGUUAUUCAAGUUAGAUGAGGCUGAAGUCCUCCUAUGCAUUUCAAGUAAUUUAGUAUUCAAUGUGGGCACUGAUUCAAGUAGACGUUUUAGGAAUAAUCACCUGAUAUACAAAUAUGUGAUUGAUCCCUUGGUAAAUGAAAAUUACAGAAAAUCACAGGUCUCACCAAAAUUGCUGCUUGUGUGAACAAAUUAAAUUGGAUUAUAAGAACAAAAUGGAUUUGUCUAAUUUUAAAGAAUCCUUAUCCAAUGAUUGCAUGAAUUACUUUAAUUUGAAUGUUUUUUAGUAAGAGAGAAGCCAGAAUGGCUGCAACUAAUACUGGAUACAAGCGAACUUAGUAUUGUAUCCAGUGUUUGCUUGUAUAUCCUUAUUCAUUUAUAGAAGAGCUUCCCUUCUUCCUUCUCUGAAUAUUUUCGUAUUUUUCCUGGUUUCCUCCAGACUUUUUGGCAUAUCCAAACAUUUAUCAGUAAGCUGCACUUUGAGUUGUACUUCAGACUUUGCAAAUGACAGAAAAUGUUUAAGAAUAUACUGAAAUAAGACUGCCCUGUGCUAAAUGAGCUAAUGUAUGUCAGAGAAUAUUAAGGAAAACAAUGUGAGGCUGUGAUGAUAGCCAAUCUAGCACCAAGGCUUCGCAGUACGACAAACGUUUCAACUUCUAUUUUAAGUCUUUAAAUGUCUCCUUCUCAUACUAAGCAAACUCCACUUGAUGAUGUAAACAUAU